CUGAUGGCGACCGGCGCACGGGUGAGUAACACGUAUCCAACCUGCCGUCUACUCUUGGCCAGCCUUCUGAAAGGAAGAUUAAUCCAGGAUGGGAUCAUGAGUUCACAUGUCCGCAUGAUUAAAGGUAUUUUCCGGUAGACGAUGGGGAUGCGUUCCAUUAGAUAGUAGGCGGGGUAACGGCCCACCUAGUCAACGAUGGAUAGGGGUUCUGAGAGGAAGGUCCCCCACAUUGGAACUGAGACACGGUCCAAACUCCUACGGGAGGCAGCAGUGAGGAAUAUUGGUCAAUGGGCGAUGGCCUGAACCAGCCAAGUAGCGUGAAGGAUGACUGCCCUAUGGGUUGUAAACUUCUUUUAUAAAGGAAUAAAGUCGGGUAUGCAUACCCGUUUGCAUGUACUUUAUGAAUAAGGAUCGGCUAACUCCGUGCCAGCAGCCGCGGUAAUACGGAGGAUCCGAGCGUUAUCCGGAUUUAUUGGGUUUAAAGGGAGCGUAGAUGGAUGUUUAAGUCAGUUGUGAAAGUUUGCGGCUCAACCGUAAAAUUGCAGUUGAUACUGGAUGUCUUGAGUGCAGUUGAGGCAGGCGGAAUUCGUGGUGUAGCGGUGAAAUGCUUAGAUAUCACGAAGAACUCCGAUUGCGAAGGCAGCCUGCUAAGCUGCAACUGACAUUGAGGCUCGAAAGUGUGGGUAUCAAACAGGAUUAGAUACCCUGGUAGUCCACACGGUAAACGAUGAAUACUCGCUGUUUGCG
rnacentral:rRNA from 1 species